rnacentral:rRNA from 1 species
AUACGUAGGGGGCGAGCGUUGUCCGGAAUGAUUGGGCGUAAAGGGCGCGUAGGCGGCCCGGUAAGUCUGGAGUGAAAGUCCUGUUUUUAAGAUGGGAAUUGCUUUGGAUACUGUCGGGCUUGAGUGCAGGAGAGGUAAGUGGAAUUCCCAGUGUAGCGGUGAAAUGGGUAGAGAUUGGGAGGAACACCAGUGGCGAAGGCGACUUACUGGACUGUAACUGACGCUGAGUCGCGAAAGUGUGGGGAGCAAACAGGAUUAGAUACCCUGGUAGUCCACACUGUAAACGAUGAAUGCUAGGUGUAGGGGGUAUCGACCCCUUCUGUGCCGCAGUCAACACAAUAAGCAUUCCGCCUGGGGAGUACGGCCGCAAGGUUGAAACUCAAAGGAAUUGACGGGG